CGAUCUUUUUGUUAGGUUCGAUCGUCGCUGCCGCCGUUUUUGUUGUGUUGGAAGUGACAUUGGGUCCCUCGUGUUCAUAACCGAAAUUGUGAAUUUUGGAGUUUGGCUCGCCAAUACUUCGUAUCUUUCGUGGGAUAUAGUUUGUUUAAGAAAUUGAGCAACCUUGAGGUAAGGGAUUUUCUACUGGACUCAACAACAAAAUUAAGAUAUAAUGACUAAUUAAGAUGUAUUGACUGUAUGGACCGUAUUAUAUUAUUUGAACUGAGUAGAGAUGACUGUUAUGAUGUAUGUUUGGACAUUGACUUAAAGUUUAAUGUUUGCUGUGUUUGACUGGGAGAAAUUAAUACAUAUAUGUGCAUGGGUUGAUGUGGACUGUGGUUGAGUA